AUAGGUGGCAAGCGUUAUCCGGAUUUAUUGGGCGUAAAGCGUGCGUAGACGGUUUUGCAAGUCUGAGGUUAAAUUUAGGAGCUCAACCCCUAACCGCCUUGGAAACUACAUUACUAGAGUAUAGGAGAGGUUAGUGGAAUUUCAUGUGUAGCGGUGGAAUGCGUAGAUAUAUGAAGGAACACCAGUGGCGAAGGCGGCUAACUGGCCUAUUACUGACGUUGUGGCACGAAAGCGUGGGAGCAAAUAGGAUUAGAUACCCCUAGUAGUCCACGCCGUAAACGAUGAGUACUAAGUGUUGCCAUGAGGCAGUGCUGUAGCUAACGCAUUAAGUACUCCGCCUGAGUAGUAUGCUCGCAAGAGUG
rnacentral:rRNA from 1 species